rnacentral:rRNA from 1 species
UUAAAAUUAAAUUAUUUAUAGUGUAAUUUUAUUAAAUAUUUAAUAAAAAUAUUUUUAUUAAUUUAAGUUAAUGUAUUAUUUAUAAAUUAAAUAAUUUUAGUAAUAGUAAAUUUGUAUAGUGAAAGAUUUUUGUAAUAAAUAUUUAUUAAAUAAAAAGUAAAUUUUAUUAAUUGUACCUUUUGUAUCAGGGUUUAUUAAUUUUUAUUUUAAAAUUUAAAAGUUCUCGAAUUUAAGAGAUUUAAAAUUAUAUAAAAUUUAUUGUUGUAAAAAUAUUUUUAAUGUAAUUUUGGUAAUGAAAUGUUAUUCGUUCUUAAAUAUAUCUAGUUUUUAAAGAAAUGAAUUUAAUUCAUAUAUUAAAUUAUAUUAUUUUUUUUUAAAAAAAAUAAUUUAUUUUAAUAUAAAAAUUUUUGGGGAUUAGCUUAAAAAUUUUAAUUUAAAAAAUAUUAUUAAAUUAUAAAAAUAAUAGGAUUAGAAAUUUUCAUUUAUAAAUAAAAUGUUAUAAUUAAUUUAAUAAAAAUAAUAAUUUUAGAAUUUUUUAAAUAGAUUAUUUAAAUAAUAAAUUAAAUUUUUAAUUUAUUUAAUAAUGAUAAAAUUAGUAUUAAUUUUUUUAAAAUUUAAAAAUUUAAUUAAGAUUAAAGUAAGGAAUUCAGCAAAUUUAUACUCACCUGUUUAUCAAAAACAUGUCUUUUUGAGAAUAAUUUAAAGUCUAACCUGCCCAUUGAUUUUAUAUUUAAAGGCCGCAGUAUCCUGACUGUGCAAAGGUAGCAUAAUCAUUUGUCUUUUAAUUGAAGGCUGGAAUGAAUGGUUGAUUGAAGUAUAAACUGUCUCAUUUUAAUAAGUUAAUAAUUUAGCUUUUAAAUUAAAAGGUUUAAAUGUAUUUGAAAGACGAGAAGACCCUAUAGAUUUUUAUAAUAUUUUAUUAAAUUAUAAUUAGUUUAUUAUAAUUAAUUUAUUAGAAUUUUAUUUGAUUGGGGUGAUUAAAAAAUUAAAUAAACUUUUUUUUUUAAAAAACCAUUAAUUUUUGAAUUAUUGAUCCAAUUUUAUUGAUUAUAAGAUUAAAUUACCUUAGGGAUAACAGCGUAAUUUUUUUAGAGAGUUCUUAUCGAUAAAAAAGAUUGCGACCUCGAUGUUGAAUUAAAGGUUAUUUUUAAAUGUAGAAGUUUAAAGUUUAGGUCUGUUCGACCUUUAAAUCUUUACAUGAUUUGAGUUCAGACCGGUGUGAGCCAGGUCGGUUUCUAUCUUUAAAAAAAUAAAAUAUUUUAGUACGAAAGGACCAGAUAUUUAAAAAAAUUUUUAUUUUAGGAAUAUUAUUAAUU